AGUAUUUGUGGGAAGAAUUAUCCGAAAUAAUGAAGAAAAUGCUCCAGUGCGACUUGAAAUCCACAUCCUUGAGACAUGCCUGGUCCAUUUUUCUUAAUGAUGUUGAUCAUGAGUUCAGAAUGCGUUGGCCUUUGUAAUCAGGCCUGGUGCAUUUUUCUUAAUGAUGUUGAUCAUGAGUUCAGAAUGCGUUGGCCAAGAAAAAGUAAUAUCAAAGUCAACGCGUGUCCAUCCUGCUAACAUUUGGACCAGGCGCCUCAGGGCCGAGGCUGAAGGAAACCCUCUUCAAUAUUAAGAUCACCAUAGAGUUCAUCGUACUCAUCUUCAUUGUCAAUCAAUUCAUCCUGGCGCUGCAUGAUUUGUGGAAGGGGCCAAAUGAAAAGAGACAUGGAACACUUUAACCAAAGUGAUCUGUCAGUGUAACCAGCAUGAGCGUAUAUCUCAUACUCGUUGCCUAAAAUUGAGAAGCCUAAUGCCCAAUGGAGUUUGGUUCUGCGAUUAAACUUGUGUACAGGUAAUUUAAUAUGUUAAACAUUUCUCCAGGAAUGAAUGGACCGUAGGAACUGUUAUGGGUAGCUGCUCGAGGAUCUGUUGCUGCUUUGGUUAGUUUUAGGACCAUAGCACGAAGUUUGCAUGAUGGGUCGGCAUGGACAAAGGAGGUGUUAUGAAGCUGUGGAUU